ACGCACGCUGGCGGCAGGCCUAACCCCUGCAAGUCGCGCGCCCUUUCGGGGGAGCGGCGGACGGGUGAGUAACGCGUGGGAAUAUGCCCUUCUCUACGGAAUAGCCUCGGGAAACUGAGAGUAAUACCGUAUACGCCCUUUGGGGGAAAGAUUUAUCGGGGAAGGAUUAGCCCGCGUUGGAUUAGGUAGUUGGUGGGGUAAUGGCCUACCAAGCCGACGAUCCAUAGCUGGUUUGAGAGGAUGAUCAGCCACACUGGGACUGAGACACGGCCCAGACUCCUACGGGAGGCAGCAGUGGGGAAUCUUAGACAAUGGGGGCAACCCUGAUCUAGCCAUGCCGCGUGAGUGAUGAAGGCCUUAGGGUUGUAAAGCUCUUUCAGCUGGGAAGAUAAUGACGGUACCAGCAGAAGAAGCCCCGGCUAACUCCGUG
rnacentral:rRNA from 1 species